GAUGAACGCUGGCGGCGUGCUUAACACAUGCAAGUCGAACGGAAAGGCCGAAGCUUGCUUCGGUACUCGAGUGGCGAACGGGUGAGUAACACGUGGGUGAUCUGCCCUGUACUUCGGGAUAAGCUUGGGAAACUGGGUCUAAUACCGGAUAUGACGAUCUCUUGGAUGGGGUUGUGGAAAGCUUUUGCGGUAUGGGAUGAGCUCGCGGCCUAUCAGCUUGUUGGUGGGGUAAUGGCCUACCAAGGCGUCGACGGGUAGCCGGCCGCUGAGGGUGUACGGCGACAUUGGAACUGAGAUACGGCCCAGACUCCUACGUGAGGCAGCAGGGGGGAGUAGUGCACAAUGGGCGCUAGCCUGAUGCAGCGACGCCGCGUGGGGGAUGACUGCCUUCGGGUUGUAAACUCCUUUCGCAAUCGACGAAGCCUUUUGGUGACGGUAGGUUGAGAAGAAGCACCGGCUAACUACGUG
rnacentral:rRNA from 1 species